GAUGAACGCUGGCGGCGUGCCUAAUACAUGCAAGUCGAGCGAACAGACGAGGCGCUUGCUCCUCUGACGUUAGCGGCGCACGGGUGAGUAACACGUGUAUAACCUACCUAUAAGACUGGGAUAACUUCGGGAAACCGGAGCUAAUCCCGGAUAAUAUCUUGAACCGCAGGGUUGAAUAGUGAAAUACGGUUUUGCUGUCUCUUCUAGCUGGUUCCGCGCCGCGUUCGCUAGUUGUUAAGGUAACGGCUUACCAAGGCAACGAUGCGUAUCCGACCUGCGUGGGGGAUCGGCCACACUGGAACGGGGCCACGGUCCAUACUACUACGAGAGGCAGCAGUAGGGAAUCGUCCGCAGUAGGCGGAAAUCUUACGGAGCAACGGCACGUGAGUGGUGGAGGUCUUCGGAUCGUAAAACUCUGUUAUGAGGGAAGAACAAAUGUGUAAGUAACUAUGCACGUCUUGACGGUAACGGAUCAGAAAGCAACGGCUAACUACGUG
rnacentral:rRNA from 1 species